rnacentral:rRNA from 1 species
AUACGUAGGGUGCAAGCGUUAUCCGGAUUUAUUGGGUUUAAAGGGUGCGUAGGCUGACGUGUAAGUCAGAGGUGAAAUGUCCGGGCUCAACCUGGGAACUGCCUUUGAUACUGCAUGUCUGGAGUUCGGAUGCCGUGGGAGGAAUGGGCAGUGUAGCGGUGAAAUGCAUAGAUAUUGCCCAGAACACCGAUUGCGAAGGCAUCUCACGAAUCCGACACUGACGCUGAGGCACGAAAGCGUGGGGAUCAAACAGGAUUAGAUACCCUGGUAGUCCACGCAGUAAACGAUGAUAACUAACCGUCGGCGAUAGACAGUCGGUGGCCAAGCGAAAGCGAUAAGUUAUCCACCUGGGGAGUACGUUCGCAAGAAUGAAACUCAAAGGAAUUGACGGGG